rnacentral:rRNA from 1 species
AGUGAACGCUGGCGGUAGGCCUAACACAUGCAAGUCGAACGGCAGCACAGUAAGAGCUUGCUCUUACGGGUGGCGAGUGGCGGACGGGUGAGGAAUACAUCGGAAUCUACUUUUUCGUGGGGGAUAACGUAGGGAAACUUACGCUAAUACCGCAUACGACCUACGGGUGAAAGCAGGGGAUCUUCGGACCUUGCGCGAUUGAAUGAGCCGAUGUGGGAUUAGCUAGUUGGCGGGGUAAAGGCCCACCAAGGCGACGAUCCGUAGCUGGUCUGAGAGGAUGGUCGGCCACACUGGAACGUAGACACGGUCCAGACUCCUACGGGAGGCAGCAGUGUGGAAUAUUGGACAAUGGGCGCAAGCCUGGUCCAGCCAUACCGCGUGGGUGAAAAAGGCCUUCGGGUUGUAAAGCCCUUUUGUUGGGAGAGAAAAGCAGCAGGUUAAUACCCCGCUGUUCUGACGGUACCCAAAGAAUAAGCACCGGCUAACUUCGUG